UGUUCUUGUAUAAGGAUAUAAUAGGAGAAUGGUUGCAAAAGAGGUACAAAAUUAUUUUAAGCUCUGAGUGUUACUUAAUUUAUUUAUUUACUAUUCAAUAGUUUGGUCAUUUAUAUAAAACUUAGCCUACUUUGUUAUAUUACCCUAUAUUGUGUGAUUAUUGAUAACAUCAAGAUGACCAGCUUAUGCCAGGUGGUCCAGCACUACAAAGAACCGAAUUUUACACAAGGAACUGGCAUUUUUUUUGGCCUUCAUGCUCUUCUUCCUAUAAGCUAAACCUGCAUGUGAAAGAAAGCCCUCAACCCCUUCCCUAGGAAGAAAGUCAGUGAGACAGUUAUAUGCUUUCCAAACUUGGAAUGAGAAGGCUGCAGCUGUCCUCGAGUGACACAUGAGAUGUUACGCCAGUGCAGAACGCUGGUGAACCUAACUGAAAUGGUUGCCGUGUAAAUCACAUCUGUGAUCUCCAGCACCAAGAUACUAAAAUAACCCUCUCCAUGUGCCUGUGCAAGAGAAAAAAUAAAUAUGGCUUAGAUCUUCCAGUACUUGUCUACUAAAAGCAACACAGAAUCUUACUGAUGAUGUUUUUUUAAAAAAUUUUAUGUAUUCUGUGGAACAUGUUGAUUUUUAUCUGGGUAAAGUCUACAGCAGGGUGUUAAACAAAGUAAAUUCUUAAAAUAUUAUCAAGGGAGGACAAAUCAGUACUCUGGGCAUGCAGGACAAGGAGAUUUGUCAUAUCUCAGCCCAGCCAUGACUCGGUUUCCUGAGAAGAAACACCCACUUCUAACAUGGCCGCUGAGGACUACACUUCCCACACACGCAUCCGCUCACCUUCCCCGGAGUUCUGAUCACACACACCUGCAGCCAAUCACUUUGCCCUCUCACCACAGCUUUUAAGAGACUUUGGAUGCAGACAUACUUUGUGAAGUAAACGUUCGGCAGACUAGCUUCUCUGUCGUUAUCCAAGCCUCAUCUACAGUGUUUAUUCGAAAAGUGACUUUGACCUUUGCUUACAUUCUCGACCUCGAUUUCUGCCUUGCCCCGUUUUGUUUGUUUGCAUGAUCACCUGACCCUUGCCUGUUUCACGACUACGAACUUUGAUUACUCCUCUGGAUUAUACUGCCUGAACCUGCUGCCCGCUUCUGCUUCCGUAUUCCCCAUGCACUCUCCUGCGCUCCUGGUCACUGCGGAUGCGUUCAAACACUUUGAGUAGCAGCCGAAUACAGAAAGAGAAAAUUUUCUGUCAAAGGAUAAGAUGGAGAAGUCAAAGAGGUUUCCAUGAGAAAAUUGGUUCUACACUUUGUUGUAAAUGUUCACAGAGGAUCCAUCAUUGGUAGUGUUAACUACAGCAUGUCAAUUCAGGGGGAACUGUUAUGUGUGGUCAAGAAUUAAAGUGUAAUAGUUUUAUCCCUGUCAGGGACACGGUUGGGAACACAGGGGGUGAGGUGAGAAUACCCCCUGGGUAGUAAGGCAGUUUGUCGCAUGGUACAGUGCACACACACAUUCACACACACAUUCACACCUAGGGGCAAUACAGUGUAGACAGUUCACUUCCCGGAAGAAACCCAUGAGGGACCCUGGAUCUGUGACGCUCCAAAUCUGCGCUGCUUGUGCCGUCUAUUUGACGCCUAUUAUGAUAAUCAUUCUAUUUCCCGUUAAGCAGUUAGAUAUACUGACCUAAUGCAAUCAGAGUGGACAAAUCAUAAAUCCAUUAGCUAGCCCACUGCAAAAGUAAAAACUCUAAUAUGCUUGCUCAGUGCCUUGUUUGGGUUGUCCAGACCUCUGAUUGUUUAAUUAAUUAUCUCACAUAAUGUAAUAAACUAGUUAGCUAGUGAAAUGAGUAAAUAAAUUCCCAUAUUGGGGAUGAUAAUCAUCAUCAUCAUCAUCUUUUUCUAGGAUAAAUAGAGCCCAUUUAAACAAAAAAAUAUACUUGGUCAUUUAUUUACUGAGGAAAAUAUCCUAAUAUUCACCCUUGGUAAAUAUGAGCAAAGAAGGAUGUGAAAGAUUGUCUUUAACCUUCUGAUAUUUUGUUUAAAAAAAAAAAAAAAAAUCACAAAAAUACUCUGCUCUCAUGGAUAAACAAUUGCAAACAAAACAAGUUUAUCAAAAAAAAAAAAUUGUUAAAUGUAUGUGUGGCACAAUUACUGGCACCCCUAUGAAUUCAUAUGAGAAAAAUAUAUUUUAAGUAUAUUCCCACUGAUAUUUAAAAAUUUUCAGUACACCUGGGUGACUACGAAAUUGAUCAAUUAUGACUUCCUAUUUCACAGAGGUAUAAAUAUGAGGUAAAACAUAGGCCAAAUUAACUUAGUCAUUCAUAACAAUGGGUAAGACCAAGGAAUAUAGCUGCGAUGUGAGGCAAAAGGUUGUUGAGCUUCACAAAAUGGGAAGUGGCUAUACACUUUGAAAAUGCCCAUUUCUACCAUUAGAGCAAUAAUUAAGAAGUUCCAGUCAAUUAAAAAUGUUAUAAAUAAACCUGGAAUUGGACGUGUGUCUAUAUUGUCUUAAUGCACUGUGAAGAGGAUGGUUCGACUGGCCAAAAAAUCUCCAAGGAUCACGUCUUGGGGUGAGAAAGUCUCCAAAACUAUAAUCCAAAGUCACCUACAUCACCACAAGUUGUAUGGAAGGGUUUCAAGAAAAAAGCCUCUACUCUCAUCCAAAAACAAACUCGAGUGUAUUCAGUUUGCCAGACAUUACUGGAACUUCAAAUGGGAUAAGGUUCUAUGGUCAGAUAAAACCAAAAUAGAGAGGUAGCCAUAUGGAAAAGUACCUCAUGCCCACGGUUAAAUAUGGUGGUGGCUCUUUAAUGUUUUGGAGGGUUGUUUCUGCCAAAGGACCUGGACAUUUUGUUAGGAUACAUGGCAUCAUGGACACUAUCAAAUAUCAAUAGAUCUUAAAUGAAAACCUGACUGCCUCUGCCAGAAAGCUUAAAAUGGGCCGUGGUCGGAUCUUCCAGCAGGACAAUGAUCCAGAACAUACAUCAAAACCAACACAAAAAUGGUUUACUGACCACAAUCAAGGUUCUGCCAUGACCUUCCCAGUCCCCUGACCUGAACCCCAUAGAAAACCUGUUGGAUGAACUGAAGAGGCGAGUCCACCAGCAUGGACAUCGAAAUUUGAAAGAUCUGGAGAGAUUCUUCCAUGCAGUAUUCUUUCAGUUGUGAUAUGUUUGAGGGUUUUCUUGUAUAUUCUGCCCGUUUCAAAUCCCCCCCCCAAAACAUUGCAAUGAGAUUCAAAUCCGGGCUUUGACUAGGCCAUUCCAAAAUGCUCCAUUUCUUCUUUUUGAGCCAUUCCUUGGUGGAUUUGCUAGUGUGCUUAGGAUCAUUAUCCUGUUGAAAGGUCCACUUUCAGUUCAACUUUAACUUUCAGACAGACAGCCUCACAUUAUCUUCAAGCACUCAUUGAUAUGAUGUAGAAUUCAUAGUUGAAUCAAUUAAUGCAAUCUGUCCGGUCUCUGAGGUAGCGAAGCAACCCCAAACCAUAAUAUUUCACCCAAGCCAUUCUUGAUAGGCCUUUUUGUUUGUUAUAAAUGUCUAAUUUAAGCAAAUUCAGUUGUUAUAGUAUAAUGUCCAUUGGAUGCAACCUCUGUAGCGGACCGUAAAUUUAUUGAAAUUGAAUGUUUACCCAUGAUUUCAGUUAUUAUGUGUUUGGUUUAUGUAGCAAGUUAUUGUUGGGCUUUUUUAUUUACAAUAAAACAAACUAAUACAAAAUGCACAAAAUACGAUAGCAUUGUACAAUUACGAUAUAAUAUGUAACAAUAAAAUUUUGGA